AUUGAACGCUGGCGGCAGGCCUAACACAUGCAAGUCGAGCGGCAGCGGGGGGAAGCUUGCUUCCCCGCCGGCGAGCGGCGGACGGGUGAGUAAUGUCUGGGAAACUGCCUGAUGGAGGGGGGAUAACUACUGGAAACGGUAGCUAAUACCGCAUAACGUCGCAAGACCAAAGAGGGGGACCUUCGGGCCUCUUGCCAUCGGAUGUGCCCAGAUGGGAUUAGCUAGUAGGUGGGGUAAAGGCUCACCUAGGCGACGAUCCCUAGCUGGUCUGAGAGGAUGACCAGCCACACUGGAACUGAGACACGGUCCAGACUCCUACGGGAGGCAGCAGUGGGGAAUAUUGCACAAUGGGCGCAAGCCUGAUGCAGCCAUGCCGCGUGUGUGAAGAAGGCCUUCGGGUUGUAAAGCACUUUCAGCGGGGAGGAAGGGAGCAGACUUAAUACGUCUGUUCAUUGACGUUACCCGCAGAAGAAGCACCGGCUAGCUCCGUGCCAGCAGCCGCGGUAAAAC
rnacentral:rRNA from 1 species